AUUUGUGAGUGUAAAGUCAAACAUUGUUUUUCAUACAUAUGGUAUAUGUAUGUUUCUCAUACAUUGGGUAUACAUUUGGGUGUAUAUAUUUGAGUUUCAAUAAAUAAUUGUCAUGAAUUACUAGAGUAUCCAAUUAGGUUGAGCCGACCAAUGAGAGUAGAGGUUGCGAGAAGUGACGUCAAUUGAAAAAUCGAAACGUGAUUGGCUGUUGAGUCGACUUGGUGGGUGAGGCUCGACGGAACGUUAUUUUGACCCCAGUAUUGGCAUAGUUGUGGUGUACAACGUUAUUAAGUGAAUGAGGUAAUGGUGGGAAGACGAGGCAUCGCGUGAAAUGAGCCGACUGGUGAUUUAGGAAGGUGGAGGAGAGACUAAGGUUGUGGUGGACCGAUGAAUCAAGUCGGUGGCGAGCAGAAGGUGGUGGCAGAUGUCCCGGUUUGGCAAGAUGUGCUGCGUGAGUUAGCAUCUAUGAUGGCGGUAU